rnacentral:rRNA from 1 species
AAAGCGAGCGGCGGAUGGGUGAGUAACACGUGGGGAACCUGCCCCUAAGUCUGGGAUACCAUUUGGAAACAGGUGCUAAUACCGGAUAAUAAAGCAGAUCGCAUGAUCAGCUUUUGAAAGGCGGCGUAAGCUGUCGCUAAGGGAUGGCCCCGCGGUGCAUUAGCUAGUUGGUAAGGUAACGGCUUACCAAGGCGACGAUGCAUAGCCGAGUUGAGAGACUGAUCGGCCACAUUGGGACUGAGACACGGCCCAAACUCCUACGGGAGGCAGCAGUAGGGAAUCUUCCACAAUGGACGCAAGUCUGAUGGAGCAACGCCGCGUGAGUGAAGAAGGUUUUCGGAUCGUAAAGCUCUGUUGUUGGUGAAGAAGGAUAGAGGUAGUAACUGGCCUUUAUUUGACGGUAAUCAACCAGAAAGUCACGGCUAACUACGUGCCAGCAGCCGCGGUAAUACGUAGGUGGCAAGCGUUGUCCGGAUUUAUUGGGCGUAAAGCGAGCGCAGGCGGAAAAAUAAGUCUAAUGUGAAAGCCCUCGGCUUAACCGAGGAACUGCAUCGGAAACUGUUUUUCUUGAGUGCAGAAGAGGAGAGUGGAACUCCAUGUGUAGCGGUGGAAUGCGUAGAUAUAUGGAAGAACACCAGUGGCGAAGGCGGCUCUCUGGUCUGCAACUGACGCUGAGGCUCGAAAGCAUGGGUAGCGAACAGGAUUAGAUACCCUGGUAGUCCAUGCCGUAAACGAUGAGUGCUAAGUGUUGGGAGGUUUCCGCCUCUCA